rfam:Microgenomates (Woesebacteria) bacterium GW2011_GWA1_39_12 TT23_C0004, whole genome shotgun sequence.
GCCAGCGUAGCUCAAUGGCGGAGCAAGGAUUUCAUAAGUCCGAGGUUAGAGGUUCGAUCCCUCUCGCUGGCA